ACAGGACGGUGCCGUUUCACACAACUAAACACCAUGGGACAGCAAAAUGAAUGAACGGAGGUGACGCGUCGACGCCGUUGACUCUUACAGCGUAAUGUGGAGACGAAGACACGUGGCUUCCGGUGACGUCUUUCAUUAGAGAAAACCUGAGAAAUGAAGAAAAGCAGAAAAAUUUUAAAGCAAACGAGAAGAUUAACCACACGUCCACCCACCCACAUAGCCUCCAGGACUCCGACCCUGAGUUCCCACUGUGUCCUUCAAGUGCAAUUUCAGGGGCAACGCAGACGGACGAGACCGGGAGCAGAGGCCUGGCACGGGUGGGAUGGGGCGGUCCGCGGCCGAGCUUUGGUUCAUGCAAGACCCCAUCACACCGGCAUGCCACGGCCCUGGACCCGAGUCGCUGUGCCCCGAAGCGCAUCAUUAACUCCCAGACGGGAUUCGUUUCUUCAGCCCUGCCGGACCCCAUCUGCGAGGAGAGCUGGGAGCUCUCAGGCUGACCUCCAGAUUGUCUUCUGCGCACUCUCAGAUGUGACGUCUCAAGCCUUGGUGGCUCUGCUCUCUUUGUCCACCUGAUGGAGGGGAUGGGCCGCCCAUGGGCCACCCACCUCAGUCCUCAUCCGGGACACCAGGCCACGACUCUUGCUUCGCCUGACCCUAAGUGGCCUCAGGCAUCUGUGCCAGGCUCCUGCUCCUUGCCGCUGUCUGGAGUGGGCAGGGUCUCUCGAUGGUCUGUGUCCAGGGUCCCCUGGAGGACCGGCGGCACAGCCCCCUGUGCAGGAUGUAGGAGAGAGCCUUAGCGUCCGAGCAGUUAUGGAAACAGGCCUGGGAGGGGUCAGGGUGAGCCUCAGGUCUGGGCACACGCCGCCUUGGGCCUGAUCACCCACAUGCGACCGACACCAGAUGGUGUGGGGGGUGUGAGCUAGGACACUUCUCAGAAGGGCAGCUUCUCCAGUCACGUCCAGAUGUCAGAAGUGUCUCGCUUUGACUCAGCGUUUCGGCUUCUGGGAACUCCCGCUAAGGAACCAUUCCGUCCAGGCACCCGGUGCUCAUCCAGCCGGGGUUACGACCCAGGAAACGGUACCACCGGGGUCAUCACAUGUCUGCACGGUGGCAUCACGAGCCGUCUUUAAAAACGACCUGUGAAUCUCCGACGGUGGACGUGGAAGGUGCCUGGGGUCUGCUUUGGAACGAAAAAAGUAAACAUCCUGCUGU